AUGGACAUGAAGGCCCCUGCUCAGCUCCUGGGGCUCCCAGGUGUCAGAUGUGACAUCCAGAUGACCCAGUCUCCAUCCUCCCUGUCUGCAUCUUUAGGAGACACAGUCACCAUCACUUGCCAGGCAAGUCAGAGCAUUAGCAGUUGGUUAGCCUGGUAUCAGCAGAAACCAGGGAAAGCCCCUAAGCUCCUGAUCUAUAAGGCAUCUAGUUUGCAAAGUGGGAUCUCCUCGAGGUUCAGUGGCAGUGGAUCUGGGACAGAUUUCACUCUCACCAUCAGCAGCCUGGAGUCUGAAGAUGUUGCAACUUAUUACUGUCAACAGUACAGUAGUUACCCUCCCACAGUGUUAUAA